CGGGAGCGCAGCCUGUUUCCGUCCUGCUCGCUGUUGGCCGCACACGGUGGGGUGUCGCUCCAGGACCUUGCUCCAGACUACGCCCAGGGAUGGGACCCACGCCCGCUGCAGUGGAAGCUCGGAGUCUUAACCACUGGACCGCCAGGGAAGUCCCAACAGCCUGCUUUUAAAUGCAGGAAAAUCAAGGGAAAGUGCGAAUGCAGUCCCCCACUAUCACAAAUGAUGCAGUUGAGUUUCCCACAUUUGGGAAAAUGGCAGGGGUCAGCACAUCCGAAAUGCAAUGGAUAAGCCUCGCCCUGGGAGAACCACCUUCGUGAUCAUGGUAUCUCCCCUGCCAGAUAACACCCUGAAGCUCCAACUUAGUGGUGGGUCAACUAGACUCCGUGAAAUAUGGUCAGUACCCUCCUCAUUAUGACAAGCUCACCUUGAUGCUAGUUUCUGUCUGCAACUCCUGGAUUCAAUCACCUCAAAAAAGGAGAGAUUAAACAGAACAUCUAUAAUCUUCUAAAGUCCUAAAAGCCUGCAUUAUGUCUGGAAAUUGUGGUAUUUAUCUACUAUUCCCAGGAGACUAUUGGUCACCAUGUAGCUGUCAGAUGGCAGCAACUUCCAAUCAAUAUCCAUCUGGAUUGGAUUCAUCCUGGACCUAGAGAUAUCGAAGAAAGUCUGCUACACAGCAUUGAACAACCUCUGCAGAACUGGGGAAGGAACAAUUCAUGAGACUAACAGUUACCUUCUACCAGUUACUUUCUUCAGGCUGAUGUUAAGCAGCACUGUAUGUAUAUGUGUGGAAUUAUUCCACAAUUAAUGGUAAUACAGAAUUUUCUGGGAAGCUUGAGAUUAGAACCUUUAACAUACUGAUCAGAGAGGAAUAUCGGGUAAAUACUAAAGGUAAUUAAUAAAUAAUCUAAAGUUAAUCAUUAUAGGACCAUUAAAUAAAUCCUGGUAUAGUCAUACAGCAGCUAAAGAGACAUUGAUUACCUUUUAACUUAUACUACAACAUGUAUAUUUAAAACAUUUUGGGGUAACCACUAAAAAGAGGCAAACAAGUGUAUAACUUGCAAACCAAUAGAAGGUAAAUGAAAGAGAAUUUACAAAAAAUAAUAAUCCACAAAAAGCAGAAAAAAGAAAAGAAUUUGUCAGUUGAAAACAGAAUAUUUUAAAACUACAUCCAAAUAUAUCAGUUAUUUUAAUAAUAUUAACAACUAAACUGGAAAUGGACAGUGUACAAAUAUAUUUGGAUUUUAAGCAUAUUUUAUUUUCAGACUAGUCAUAAAUUAUACAAAAAUAUGAGAGUAACUGUGUUGGAAUAGAAAGAACUGGAAUUACUUGAAUUAAAGACCAGCUAUGCCAUUUUCCCUCAAACUAUGUGUCCUUAAGCAUAUUUCCUUACCUUUCAGAGUCUGCUCUUCCCCACAUGUAUAUACCAGAUAAUAUAUACUUCACAGGAGUUUUGUGGUGAUUGUUUACAUUGAAUGCGGUGCCCCAUCCGUACAGGAUAUUUUAAAAAUUAUGACUGAAAUUUACUCUUGGUGUGUAAAAACCCAAAUUAAUGGCUUGACUAAUAGGGCUGUCCAAUUUUUAGAUAAUGUCCUUAGUUCUUUUUUGGGGCAUAUCAUGCAUUUUCAAAUAUUGAGUUUAUUUUUAUAAUAGGAGAAAAGGUUAAUACUACUUGGGUGAAUAUGAGAUGUAUUAUCUUUAACAAUUAAACUCACAAGAUUCUUUGCUAUUGAUGUCAUUUCUUAAAAAUAAUCAAGGUGAUAAAACACCCAUUUGGAUGUACUAGUAAUAAGUUGGGAGGGUUAGAUAUAUAGUUGGGCUGGGGUUCGGGGGUUUUAUCUCGUUUCAGGUAUAUUAUAGUACCUAGCAUAUUUUGAUACCGAAUGAAUAUUAAUAAUGAGAGCAGUAAUAAUUU